rnacentral:rRNA from 1 species
AGCUUGCUGAACACACGACCGGCGCCGGGUGAGUAUCGCGUAUGCACUUACCUCUAACUGGGACAUAGCCCGAAGAAAUUCGGAUUAAUAUCCCAUAAUAUAUUGAAGAGGCAUCUCUUUAAUAUCAAAGCUCAGGCGGUUAGAGAUGGGCAUGCGUGUCAUUAGCUUGUUGGUGAGGUAACGGCUCACCAAUGCUACGAUGACUAGGGGGUCUGAGAGGAUGAUCCCCCACACUGGUACUGAGACACGGACCAGACUCCUACGGGAGGCAGCAGUGAGGAAUAUUGGGCAAUGGACGCAAGUCUGACCCAGCCAUGCCGCGUGCAGGAUGACGGCCCUAUGGGUUGUAAACUGCUUUUAUUAGGGAAGAAUGGUUCCUACGUGUAGGGAUUUGACGGUACCUAAAGAAUAAGCAUCGGCUAACUCCGUGCCAGCAGCCGCGGUAAUACGGAGGAUGCAAGCGUUAUCCGGAUUCAUUGGGUUUAAAGGGUGCGUAGGCGGAAUAUUAAGUCAGUGGUGAAAUCCUGCAGCUUAACUGUAGAACUGCCAUUGAUACUGGUAUUCUUGAAUAUAGUUGAGGUGGGCGGAAUGUGUAAUGUAGCGGUGAAAUGCUUAGAUAUUACACAGAACACCGAUUGCGAAGGCAGCUCACUAAACUAAUAUUGACGCUGAGGCACGAAAGCGUGGGGAGCGAACAGGAUUAGAUACCCUGGUAGUCCACGCUGUAAACUAUGAUCACUCGCUGUUGGCAAUAACAUCGUCAGCGGCUGAGCGAAAGCAUUAAG